rnacentral:rRNA from 1 species
AACGAACGCUAGCGGGAUGCCUCAAACAUGCAAGUCGUACGCGAAAGUCCCUUCGGGGGCGAGUAGAGUGGCGCACGGGUGCGUAACACGUAGCUAACGUACCCCUUCGCUGGGGAUAACCUCGGGAAACCGAGGCUAAUACCGAAUGAACUGAUCUAGCCUGCGGGCCGGAUCGGUAAAGCCUUCGGGCGCGAAGGGAUCGGGCUGCGGCUCAUUAGUUUGAUGGUGGGGUAACGGCUUACCAUGACUACGAUGAGUAGCUGGUCUGAGAGGAUGAUCAGCCACACUGGAACUGAAACACGGUCCAGACUCCCACGGGAGGCAGCAGUUGGGAAUAUUGGACAAUGGGGGAAACCCUGAUCCAGCAAUCCCGCGUGAGUGAUGAAGGCUUUCGAGUCGUAAAGCUCUUUCAGUAGGGAAGAAAGGAACUUGACGGUACAAAAGAAGCACCGG